AUGAACGCUGGCGGCGUGCCUAAUACAUGCAGGUCGAGCGAACAGAUGAGGAGCUUGCUCCUCUGACGUUAGCGGCGGACGGGUGAGUAUCACGUGGAUAACCUACCUAUAAGACUGGGAUAACUUCGGGAAACCGGAGCUAAUACCGGAUAAUAUAUUGAACCGCAUGGUUCAAUAGUGAAAGACGGUUUUGCUGUCACUUAUAGAUGGAUCCGCGCCGCAUUAGCUAGUUGGUAAGGUAACGGCUUACCAAGGCAACGAUGCGUAGCCGACCUGAGAGGGUGAUCGGCCACACUGGAACUGAGACACGGUCCAGACUCCUACGGGAGGCAGCAGUAGGGAAUCUUCCGCAAUGGGCGAAAGCCUGACGGAGCAACGCCGCGUGAGUGAUGAAGGUCUUCGGAUCGUAAAACUCUGUUAUUAGGGAAGAACAAAUGUGUAAGUAACUAUGCACGUCUUGACGGUACCUAAUCAGAAAGCCACGGCUAACUACGUG
rnacentral:rRNA from 1 species